rnacentral:rRNA from 1 species
UACGUAGGGUGCGAGCGUUGUCCGGAAUUAUUGGGCGUAAAGAGCUCGUAGGCGGUUUGUCACGUCUGCUGUGAAAUCGCCCGGCUCAACUGGGCGGGGUCAGCGGAUACGGUCGAGCUUGAGCAAGCUAGGGGGCAAUGGAAUUCCUGGUGUAGCGGUGAAAUGCGCAGAUAUCAGGAGGAACACCGGUGGCGAAGGCGGGUCUCUGGGCAGUAACUGACGCUGAGGAACGAAAGCGUGGGUAGCGAACAGG